rnacentral:lncRNA from 1 species
CAGUGUGUUAUAUAUUAAUGAAGUUUCAAUAUCAUGAGCAACCUAUUACAAAUAACAAUAUUGAUGAACAAAACAUUGUGGCACCAAUACAAGUCCCGAAACAAUGUAGAAUUGAAAGCACAAGGUAUGAAAGGGUCCCCAUAAGCGCCAAUAAAUUUGAGAACUCCCUCCUCGCAAGAAAGAAGAAGCAUGACGAUUGUAUAUUCUAUAGGAUGUUUACCAACCACACAUGAGAAUAUCCAUACAUGAUCAGUUUAUAUUUUGGAAAACAGUUGUGCAAACAU